GUUUAAAAAGCAAAGGGUGACCAAGAGCCAGGUGUACACGCUGAAGCUUGGGUCACGAAACAUUCCAGUUUAUUGUCAUAUGGGAGACUUCGGAUGCGGAAGUGGAGGAUGGACACCUGUUAUGAAAACUGAUGGCACAAAGAAAACCUUUCACUAUU